rnacentral:rRNA from 1 species
GACGAACGCUGGCGGCGUGCUUAACACAUGCAAGUCGAACGGAAAGGCCCUGCUUUUGUUGGGUGCUCGAUUGGCGAACGGGUGAGUAACACGUGUGUAACCUGCCCUUGACUUUGGGAUAACUUCAGGAAACUGGGGCUAAUACCGGAUAGGAGCUCCUGCUGCAUGGUGGUGGAUGGAAAGAUUCGGCGGUUGGGGAUGGAUUCGCGGCUUAUCAGCUUGUUGGUGGGGUAGUGGUUUACCAAGUCUUUGACGGGUAGCCGGCCUGAGAGGGGGACCGGCGACAUUGGGACUGAGAUACGGCCCAGACUCCUACGGUAGGCAGAAGGGGGGAAUAUUGCACAAUGGGCGGAAGCGUGAGGUAGCAACGCCGCGUUCGGGAUGACCGCCUUCGGGGGGUAAACCGCUGUCGCCGGUGACGAAGCGGGCGUGACGGUAAUGGGUAAAAAAGCACCGGCUAACUACGUG